UACAGAGGUCCCGAGCGUUGUUCGGAAUUAUUGGGCGUAAAGCGCGUUGUAGGCGGCUUGUUAAGUCGGGUGUGAAAGCCCUCAGCUCAACUGAGGAAGGCGCCCCGAAACUGGCGAGCUUGAGUGCGGGAGAGGGAAGCGGAAUUCCUGGUGUAGAGGUGAAAUUCGUAGAUAUCAGGAGGACACCGGUGCGAAAGCGGCUUCCUGGCCCGACACUGACGCUCAUGUACGAAAGCGUGGGGAGCAAACAGGAUUAGAGUACCCCG
rnacentral:rRNA from 1 species